ensembl:lncRNA
CAACGCAAAUAAGAAAGGAAAUAAGAGCAGAAAUAUCGGAAAUAAUGACGGAAAUAAUAACCUAAGUAAAGGAAAUAACAGAAAUAACGGAAAUAACCUCAACAGAGACAGAAAUGUACGGCAGAAAUUUAAGUGACAGGACGAGAACAACAAUGGAAAUAACAGAUAUAACGGAAAUAACGGAAAUAACCUCCGAAAGACAGAAACAUACGGCAGAAAAUUAGGUGACAGGUCAAGAACAGCAAUGGAAAUAACGGAAAUAACGGAAAUAACCUCCGAAAGACAGAAACAUACGGCAGAAAAUUAGGUGACAGGUCAAGAACAGCAAUGGAAAUAACGAAAAUAAUGGAAAUAACGAAAAUAACAGAAAAAAUGGAACAAACGGAAAGAACGGAAAGAACAGAAAGAACGGAAAGAACAGAAAGAACGGAAAUAAUAAUGGAAAUAAGGGAAUUACCCCCACAGGGACAGAAACAUACAGCAGAAAAUUAGGUGACAGGUAAAGAAUAACAACGGAAAGAACGGAAAUAACAGAAAGAACCUCCAGAGAGACAGAAACAUUCGGCAGGAAAUUAAAUGACAGGUCAAGAACAACAACGGAAAGAACGGAAAUAACCAAAAUAACAGAAAUAACGAAAAUAACGGAAAUAACGGAAUUAACAGAAAUAACGGAAAGAGUGGAAAGAACGGAAAGAACAGAAAGAACAGAAAUAACGGAAAAUAUGGAAAUAAUAACGGAAAUAACGGAAAUAACCUCUACAGGGACAGAAACAUACAGCAGGAAAUUAGGUGACCGGUCAAGAAUAACAACGGAAAGAACGGAAAGAACGGAAAGAACCUACGAAAGAC